GGAUGUCAGGGCGAUCUUACUGCGACAUCUGUCACCCCAUUCAUCACCAGGGUUGAUUCGGCUGAUCUGGCUGGCCAGGCGGGUGUCUCCUUCCUCCCUCACCGCUCCAUGUGCGUCCCUCCUAAAGCUGACUGGUCUUUGGGUCCAGGGUAUAUGGGUAGCUGCGCUCCCUUGCUAUAACCUCCAUCAAGCUCUCUCAAGUUCCAUUCAUUUUGUCCCAAAUGACAUUGUAUGUUUUUAAAAUUGCAGACAAGUAUCCCAUUCAAUAUACAUCCCACAGUUUCUUUUUCCAGUCAUCUG
rfam:Erinaceus europaeus unplaced genomic scaffold scaffold00052, whole genome shotgun sequence